rnacentral:rRNA from 1 species
GAUGAACGCUGGCGGCGUGCUUAACACAUGCAAGUCGAACGGAAAGGCUCCUGCUUGCAGGGGUACUCGAGUGGCGAACGGGUGAGUAACACGUGGGUGAUCUGCCCUGCACUUCGGGAUAAGCCUGGGAAACUGGGUCUAAUACCGGAUAGGACCACAUUUUGGAUGGUGUAGUGGAAAGUUUUUCGGUGUGGGAUGAGCUCGCGGCCUAUCAGCUUGUUGGUGGGGUAAUGGCCUACCAAGGCGUCGACGGGUAGCCGGCCUGAGAGGGUGUACGGCCACAUUGGGACUGAGAUACGGCCCAGACUCCUACGGGAGGCAGCAGUGGGGAAUAUUGCACAAUGGGCGCAAGCCUGAUGCAGCGACGCCGCGUGGGGGAUGACGGCCUUCGGGUUGUAAACUCCUUUCGCUAGGGACGAAGCGCAAGUGACGGUACCUGGAGAAGAAGCACCGGCUAACUACGUG